rnacentral:rRNA from 1 species
AUUGAACGCUGGCGGCAGGCCUAACACAUGCAAGUCGAACGAGUGGCGGACGGGUGAGUAAUGUCUGGGAAACUGCCUGAUGGAGGGGGAUAACGUCCGGAAACGGGCGCUAAUACCGCAUCCAUCACAUGUGCCCAGAUGGGAUUAGCUAGUUGGUGGGGUAACGGCUCACCAAGGCGACGAUCCCUAGCUGGUCUGAGAGGAUGACCAGCCACAAUGGGACUGAGGCACGGUCCAGACUCCUACGUGAGGCAGCAGUGGGGAAUAUUGCGCAAUGGGCGCAAGCCUGAUGCAGCCAUGCCGCGUGAAUGAAGAAGGCCGUCGGGUUGUAAAGUGCUUUCAGCGGGGAAGCGUUACCCACAGAAGAAGCACCGGCUAACUCCGUGCCAGCAGCCGCGGUAAUUC